rnacentral:rRNA from 1 species
CACGGAUAACAUACCGAAAGGUAUGCUAAUACGAGAUAAUAUGCUUUUAUCGCACGGUAGAAGUAUCAAAGCUCCGGCGGUACAGGAUGGACCCGCGUCUGAUUAGCUAGUUGGUGAGGUAACGGCUCACCAAGGCGACGAUCAGUAGCCAACCUGAGAGGGUGAUCGGCCACAUUGGAACUGAGACACGGUCCAAACUCUUACGGGAGGCAGCAGUGGGGAAUAUUUUAAAAGGGGCGAAAGCCUGAUGCAGCA